rnacentral:rRNA from 1 species
CCUACGGGUGGCAGCAGUGAGGAAUAUUGGUCAAUGGACGAGAGUCUGAACCAGCCAAGUAGCGUGAAGGAUGACUGCCCUAUGGGUUGUAAACUUCUUUUAUAUGGGAAUAAAACGUUCCACGUGUGGGAUUUUGUAUGUACCAUAUGAAUAAGGAUCGGCUAACUCCGUGCCAGCAGCCGCGGUAAUACGGAGGAUCCGAGCGUUAUCCGGAUUUAUUGGGUUUAAAGGGAGCGUAGGUGGCUUGUUAAGUCAGUUGUGAAAGUUUGCGGCUCAACCGUAAAAUUGCAGUUGAAACUGGCAGUCUUGAGUACAGUAGAGGAGGGCGGAAUUCGUGGUGUAGCGGUGAAAUGCUUAGAUAUCACGAAGAACUCCGAUUGCGAAGGCAGUUCACUGGACUGCAACUGACACUGAGGCUCGAAAGUGUGGGUAUCAAACAGGAUUAGAUACCCGAGUAGUC